rnacentral:rRNA from 1 species
ACAGAGGAUGCAAGCGUUAUCCGGAAUGAUUGGGCGUAAAGCGUCCGUAGGUGGUUUGUCAAGUCUGUGGUUAAAGCGUGGAGCUUAACUCCAUAACGGCCAUGGAAACUGACAGACUAGAGUCAAGUAGGGGUAGAGGGAAUUCCCAGUGUAGCGGUGAAAUGCGUAGAGAUUGGGAAGAACACCGGUGGCGAAAGCGCUCUACUGGACUUGUACUGACACUGAGGGACGAAAGCUAGGGGAGCGAAAGGGAUUAGAUACCCCUGUAGUCCUAGCCGUAAACGAUGGAUACUAGGUGUUGCCCGUAUCGACCCGGGCAGUGCCGUAGCUAACGCGUUAAGUAUCCCGCCUGGGGAGUACGCACGCAAGUGUG